AUUCAAAUUCGGUCAUUCGCGGAAUUAUAGAUCUUGCAAUCAGUUGAAAGUCUGAAAAUAUGGAAAAUAUAUUAUUAGUGUCAUUUUUUAUAACAUUAUCAGCUGCAAUGCACGAGCACAUUGAUUCCUUAUCGUUUGCAGUUGAUGAAAGCAACUGUGAUAUUGAUAACAAUAAUGAGUGGGAUUUGGUUGAUUACAAAAGUGUUGGUGUUGAACCAAGAUCAGCAGAUUUAGCUUUGCGAGCUAACACUGAUAGCUGUUUCUCAAUAGUAAACCAUGCCGUGGUCAAUGGAACUAUUGAAAUAGAUCUGUGCGCGCAUUUAGUGUCUGAAGAAAGUGGUGUUGAUGUCCUAGUGUACGAUAAUUUUGAUGUUCUCGUUUCGAAAAAUAGUUUAACGAUUACAAGUGAAGAAUAUAAGCCUGGAUGGAAUACUUUUAAAGUACCCUUGAAUAGUCAUAAAGGAUAUAUAAAUAUAAUUGGACACAGUAGUGGUAUCGAAAUCAUAUUGAUCGAUGCAGUGCGUUUUGUAUUAGAAAUAAAUUUUAAUACUCAAAUUAUAGAUGUUAAAUUAGACGAUGCUAUCAGACAUGAAACUAUACACAAUCCUACAACAGACAAGGACUAUGAUUUGAUCGACGAUAUGCUUAUUAUUUACAAUGAACCAUAUGAUGAAACAGAUUAUGAUGAAGGUAGUGGGAGCGGUAGUGAACCUCCUGAUACUGAAAAUCCUGUAACAGAAGAAGAUAAUGGAUUUUGGACUACUUUAACAAUAUCCCUAACAGUCAUAGGUUCAAUUGUGGGUGUUAGUGCAAUAAUAUAUGGUGCUUAUUAUUUUGGUAAAACAAGAGGUCGUCGGCCCGAUCCUUUCUUAGAAGAAUUUGAUGAAAUGGAAUCUACAGUUAAUAUACCUCGUGUGAGGCCUACGUUUAGAUAUGAGUAUUAAAUGAAUGAUCACAGUGUAAAAAUUCUCAGUUGACUAAAAUAAGUACAGUAAACCUACCUAGUCCUCAGUUGUGAUACUUAUUAGUAAAUUAUUUAAAAAAAAAACUUCUGUACAUGUGAUAAUGUCGACACAAUAUUUUGUCACUAGAGUUUUUAGUAUUCUUGAUAUAGCUUUAUUAAGAUAAAUUAGAUUUACUUCUAUGUGCUACAAUAAACAAUUACCUAUUGAAGAAAAAAACUGUGUACUGUUUAAUGAUUGACAUCCAAUUUUAGUUAAUUUAACUACUAUUAAAUCAAACGAAAAUAACGAUGAACGGUAAAAUAAACAAAAUAAAAAAUUCAGGAAGCUAAAGAUGUACAAUCCAAAAAACAGUAAUUAAUCUUGAGGGAUUUACAAUAAAUUUGUCCAUGAUCGAGUGACCAAUAGAACAUGCUUCCUUUAUCGGAUGUCAUAAAACAUUAAUACUCUUACCGAUAACAAACUUGACCAACUGAUAAAAUAUGGGUGUCAUAUUGCAAUUAUUGAACUAGUGUAACAGCUCUUUCAUUAUUCUCUAGUUAAUAAAAAUAAGUAAUUAGCAAAGUGAGACUAAUUAAAUACUUUGUAAACAGUUUUUUCUUAAACUGUUUCAACCAAAAAUAUAUCUCCAGUUUUAGAAUUAUACAUAUGUGGUUUUAGAAGUUUAACCUCUAAUAAUAUAAGUUCAGAUAUGGUCUAAUUUCCAACAACGAUAUUUGAUCAAACAGAAUCAUGGAAAUCGUAAGAGAUAGGCAUUUAAUUAUACUCCAUUUGUAAUAUACUUACAAGAACCGAGCAUAGAUCUUAAAUUUUUCCCGAUUAGUUUAAAUGAUUUAAGAAGAAAUAGAGGGAAUACCUGAAUAGUUAAUAACACCGAACCUGUUGUCGAAAGUACUAUAAUACCUUUGCCAUUUCUACUACUCAUAAUAUUCUUUUUAUUCCUUGCAUGUUGUCUUUAUUACGCUGAGCCGCAAUCUUUAAAUUUUUAUCGCAAUUUGAUUGAUUUUAAAUGAUCAAUAUUUUUGUUAAAACUAACAAUUCAUAUUUGGCUAAAUAUUGAAAUUCCAAACAAGUUCGUGUGAUUUUUUUAUAUAAGAAGUUAUGGUUAGUUCGGCCUAAAGUUUAAAUUUAUUGUUAACAAAGUAUCUUUAUUUAAUAAAAUAAAAUAUACCUAUUUAAUAAAAAUCGUUAAUAAAAUAAAAUAAAUUGCAUAUAAGAAGAACUAAUAAUGGACUUGCCGUGGUAUUAUUUCGUAGUUAUCGGAGCUUCAGUAAUAGUUGUAUUAACAAUUUUAGGUUAUGCAGCAUAUUAUUUAGGUAAAAGAAAAGCUGUCAAAGAAAUGCCUGACUUUGAUAUUGAACCAAAGUCAACAGUAGUUAUACCUCGUAUUAAGGGUGUACAUAAUUUAGAAUUUCCAAAUGAUAAGGAUAUAAGUUAAAUAAUUAUUUUGUUUAUAUAAUAUAUUUCACUCUUUUGUACACUAAAUACUGAAACAGUUAUGUUACUACAUGUUUUUUUUAAUAACGAAAGAAAAUGUAAUACAUUAUCUAUUAAUUUGUAAUUAAAAUGUCUUGAAUGCGUGGUAAUGCGUAACAUAUAAAAAUGUAAUUGUAUUUAAUUAUCAAUGUUUAAAUUAAAAAUGAAUGUACAAAUCUACAAUGUAUCUAUC
rnacentral:misc_RNA from 1 species